AAAAACCACAAAAGAAAUUUUGACAUACCUGAAAGUCUACUUGCUUUGGUGGAGUCCUCCUUGGCUUUUCGUUUUAACUUUUGUACACCAACUAGGACUUAUCAAACCACAGCAGCACAGUUGUCCUACCUCUAAUGGUGAUCCACACAGUGAUUUGCCGAAAUCUCUUCACUAAGAGUGUGUGAAUCCCUAAGCCAAAGUUUGUGCUAGCAAACUCUCAACUUUGAGCUCCCUUGUGUUUCUCUCUUUUUUGCUAUGAUCCUAUCUCAAC
rnacentral:lncRNA from 1 species